UCUCCGUUGGUGAACCAGCGGAGGGAUCAUUACCGAGUUUACAACUCCCAAACCCCUGUGAACAUACCACUUGUUGCCUCGGCGGUGCCUGCUUCGGCAGCCCGCCAGAGGACCCAAACCCUUGAUUUUAUACAGUAUCUUCUGAGUAAAUGAUUAAAUAAAUCAAAACUUUCAACAACGGAUCUCUUGGUUCUG
rnacentral:misc_RNA from 1 species